UAGUUUGGUAGCUAAACGAAAUCGGAGA
rnacentral:sRNA from 1 species